AGGUUUUAGCUAUAAUUUUUAAAACAUUGUUUAUUCUAAAUACUUAAUAAUAUAUCUUAUGAAUGAAUAACAUGUCAUUAUAACUUUUAUUUUAUUUCUCUAGUUCUUUUUAACAUUAUGAUAAUUGGGUGAUUUCAGGUAUGUCUUACGAAUUCCAUUUACUGGCUAUUUCAGUGUCUCUACUUUAAUAUUAUAUCAAAUAAAUCCAUGUUCCAAAACUUCAUUGUGUGUUUACCAUAAACCUAUAGAUUCAUUUUUAGAGUAUGAUGAUGCAGAUGAAAGCCCCUCAGAGCAAAAUUCAAUGGAGUAUUUUAUACACAAUUAUAAUUAAGUACAUUGUAAAAGUUAUUAAUUUAUCAAUAUUGAA